UGAAAACAUAAUGAAUUGAUAUUGUAAAAUUCCAAAAAAAAUUCUUCCACUUGUAAAUUUGAUUGUUACAUGACUACUAAAUCAUUGAUCAUAGCAGUCCUGCAAGAAGAGAGAAGAAUCAAAUGGGAGUUUCCAUGCUAAUUGUAACUAUCAAUAACUAACAGAAUAUAUAAACUGUUGUUAUUCAGAAAAAAGGGAAAGUAAAAUCUGGUAGUUUUAGACUAAAUCUUAUACAAAGGAAAGAAACCCCAUGACACAAAAUUCAUCUAACUGAUUCCCGGUGACUAUCAAAAUUCAUAAACUCAUCUCCAUCUGUUCUUGGUUUACUGCUCUAUCAACAUCCUCACAUGGUCUUAUUAAGUCCAAAUGUCUUUCCUUUUCCAGAAAUGCUUUUCAAAAGCUGUUUAGAAUACAUGCCCUGUGCCUGUGUUGCAUUCUUCACUCGGUUGGCUCUUACCCAAGCAGGUUCCUCAGGAAGAAAGCGAGAUAACCCAAAUUUAAUCAGCAAGAGGAUGUGCUCCAAUAUGAGAAUUGCAGCCAGCCCAGGCUCUAUUUUCCAUUUUCCCUCCUUGUCAUAUAAGCAUACUAGUAGUGCAGAGUUGGUGCAGAUUGACAUCACGAUUAGAAACUGAAAUAUGUUUAACCAAGCUCCAAUGGUGGCAGCUGCACGAGGAACCGGCCUUUUCAACAUGGUGAGUAACUUCAAUGCAUCUGUUCUAAGUUCUGUGAAGCACAGCAGCAAAGGCAAAUGCGAGGGGGAAAGCACAAGCGAACAUCAUGAUCAUUCCAAACUGCAAUGUUAACUGCAGAAAGUCUGCACACAGUUUUUUCUCCAUCAAAAAGACCAUCUUCUAGUUCUUCACCAAUACUUGCAGAAUAUGAAGGUUUUAGGUACUCUUUCUCCACCUUGGAAUUGAACUGGAUCUUCACAUUUGAUGGUUGAUUCUCCUGUUUUUUUCUUAUUUCUAACGGCCCUAUCUUUUUUAUAGCUGUACUUGAGAUAGGAUAAUGAAUUCUCCAAGACCUGAUACACUAUCAACGCUGAAUUAAAACCUGAUGAAGAGUCAAGAAGUUGCGACGUAGAAAGGUGUGAUAGAAAACUCCUAUAUAUGACUGCAUAAAAUAAAGGCCAAAUACUUUGCAAACCAAGCUGUCGACCUGAUAUUCUGUGUUUUCAUUGUUUUCGUAUUGUAUGAGCUUCAUUGAUAUCUUGCCCCCAAUCUUCAUAAAAUACUGAAUGAGAACAAGAUAAGCAUAACCUGAAGAGCAGAAACACAGGAGCAUCACUGGUAUCAAGCAGUUUCAUGCCAUAAAUCCAAGCUCAGGAGACAUUGAAGUGUUCAUUGUAGUUGAAUGAAACACUAGUCAAAUUUCAUUGAAUUAUUCAUGGACAGUAUUAUAAGCUUUCUGCUGUCUGUCUUCUACAGUACCUUGAAUUAAAUAUAUACAUGAGUUUCUAGAACGCUCGUAAGGCAAGAAAUGAAGUUCAAAUUCAAGUGGAAGGCACAAUCUGAUGAAUUUUCAUCCCUAGCUUAUUAAACUAUCUACAUCAUCCACUUCCAGUUUCAAGAUUAAAAAUAAAAAGGAUGGGUAGUUCCUUUUUUUUAACCUAUCAAGAAACAAAAAGAAAUGAAUUUUUAAGAGCAAAAUCAGAGGAAAGAAAAAGAGAAGACACAUUUUGUUGCAUACAGCAUUAGCACUCAAGAAGUGGCAAAUUCAGACCCUGAUCUCAAUAAUCAGCUUUCAAAAAGCAAAAAUGUGAAUUGAAACAUAUAGAAUUUUCAAUAUGAACGUCAUGAGCUGUCCUGUAAUAAACCUGUUGCUGCAUUGAGAGAAAUAAGGGCAUUUACACUAGCAAUGGUUGCAGGAUGUUGAUGGAGUAAGAGUAACUAAAGAUAUGAAAAGGAAGUUACAGCAUUUGUUGUGUAACAAUACUCUCUUCUACAAGAGUUAAAGUCAAAGCCCAACUCUUCAACUUUAUAUGACAUUAUUCGACAGCUACAAAGGAAAGACGAAGUAAACUAGAUAAAUAUCCUAUAAACUACAUUAUGCAAUGCAUUCAUCCAGGAAAGAAAUGCAAGACUUGGAGGUUUUUGUCACAAAUUUCAGAGAAGGCAGAAUCACUCUGUGUUGGGAUAUAUGUUGCAAGGUAAAGGUUGCAGCAGUCAAAUGAUUCUUUCUCUCUUCUCCUUUCAAAGCUUUGUUUUAAUUUUGAUUGUUCUUUUAUACCUUAUUGAGACUAAAUCUCAGAGGAAGAAAAUAGAUUUAUUGAUGGAAUUAAAUAUGCAGUAACUAUAAACAAAAAUAUCUGUAUAUCAAAGAAAAGAUCAACAUAUUUUUAACUCCAAAUCAGGACUAAUCUUCUUUAUUUUUUUUGUCUUUUCUGUUUCUCUUUUUGGAUGGGUUACUUUGACAGUCAGAACAAAAUUUUAACUGGAAUUCGUCAAAACUAAAAAUCUAGGAACAAUUAUCUCCCAACAAAGGCUCAAAUGAAAGAUGUGAAUCAAGAGGUUGCAUAACAAAAUUAACUAUAGAACUAACAUCAACAUUGGUAAGAGAAUCAUAUACUACAGCAAAAUCAUUAAAGGGAUUGACAAGAUCAAGAUAUUGGGACAGCUAAGGAAGAGGAUAACAAACUUCCAAACAUACAAAUAUACAAUAAAAGCAUUUCAACCAUGAAGUAAUAGCACUGACAUAAUUAAGGAAUAAUCAACUUCCAGAAGACGGAAGCUACCAGCUGCAAAUCAUAAACAUGAUAUAAAUUUCAGAAAUAAUCAAAUAACACAUAUACAGAAUCUUACUUCAUCGUAUCCAAAUCCAUAACCUCAUAAGAUGAGCAUAGGCCAACUCAAAUGGCAACUGAAGGCAGAUGAUACUCAAAAUAAUGAUGGCAUUAUUUCUAAACCGCAUGAGAUACCCAAACCAUUCAUGUCUUUGAUACGCUUCUUUCUCUUUUACUUUAUCAAUCCCCAAAUUUUUUACA
rnacentral:misc_RNA from 1 species